UAGAAAUAUUUUCUGAAUGACUGCGGUGACCCUGUGCAUUCCUACAGUGCUUGCAAGAACAUCUUGGAACGGUUUGAGGCCUUGCCCUGCUGCAUCCAGAGCAAGGUUAUAGAAAUUUCAGACACGG